UGACCUGUGCUCGCAUGCAGGCUUCUUGGUGGCGGCAGCAGCAGCCUUAGCGUCUCAUGCCUGUCUCUGAGGUCCAAGCUUUUAGCCGUGGCUCGCGCCCGUCUCUGGAGCUCCUUUAAGCAGCGCUCUUAAUCCCCUCCUCGAGCCCCAGGAAACAAAGAGGUAGUAACUCAUCCUGACUGUUCCAUCUUUGCAAGUUGAAGAAGCAAUGGAUGCAAAAUUCCCACAGACUCUCAGUUCCUGGAUCCUAGCCUGGUGAAAAGCUGUGCGGCAUGUGGGAUCUUAGUUCCCCGACCACACCCCUUGCACUGGAAGCACAGAGUCUCAACCACUAGACCACCAGGGAAGUCCCAAGAGGCCAGGCUGUCCUUUGUGGAAGGAAGACGGCUUUCAGCAUGGCUGGGACUGGUUAUCUGUGUGGCCUUCGGUGGUCUUAUGAGUAAAGUGCAAAAAAAAAAAAGAAAGCCUUCUAAGAUGAGACCCAUCAAUUUCAGUGCUACAAUAUUUAGAGUUGUUCCUCACUAAGGAAGAAGUUGGCUUAAUUUCCAGGCAAAGAUAAGCUCCUUGAAGGUGAAUUGGAUAAGAAGACAAUUGAAAAUUUGACAGUGUUAACGUUCACAAUCAAUUCUAAAACAUGAGGCUUCUACAAACAAGCUGGCCAAUCAGUUACUACUCAGAACAAGAAGCCUGCAUCCUGGGAAAUUCAGUUAUCAAGCCCUGCUGCAUCAUAGUCAAGGACAGACUUCUAGUCUGGUAACCUGUGGAACACUGGGCAAGUUACCUACAUUUUCUAAGGCUCAAUGUCUUCCACCAUGAGUGGAGGAAAUAGUGGUACCUACCUGUGAAUUCGAGGCAAGCAGAUAAUGAAAACCCACAUAUUCACUAAGAGGAAAAAAGAAAAGAAACAAGUUCUUAUCUCUUCCUAAAGUGGAAUUUUCCCUACAGGAAAUGUCUGAUUGUCUGAUCUCAUGGAUGACAUUUAAAUAGGUGACACUUUGAGAAUCCAAGGACAGCAACUAUAAUCAAGUCCAAACCCUACAAAUUACAGAGAAGAAAACUGAGACCCUAGGAGGCAAGACCCAAAGUCAAGGGCAGUGAAAGAACUAUAAAUAAGCUCCGGAUCACCAGACUCACAGAUGCACGUUCUUCCCAUCACACCAUGCUUCCGUACAGGCUGGAUUUCAUUCUGUAAGAGGCAGAGGAUCACCGCUGGAAAAACCAAGGUGUGAAAUCCAGGUCAGCCAUUGUGCAAGCUGCUCCAUCUUGAAAGCCUGGCUUCCUUAAAAGAAGUUCAGAGACCAGCAGUACUACUAGCAUCACCUGAGGGCUUGUUAGAGCUCUAGGAUUCAGGCGCUCACCGCAAACCAACCUACUGGGAAACCUCAUUUUAGCCAGACCCCCAGGAGAUUGGCAUGCACAACAAAGUUUGAAAAAUAUGACUUAAAAUCAGUGAUUCUCAUUUCUGGAUUCUCAUUAGAAUCACCUGGGAACUUUUUUUUUUAAUACUGAUUCCUGGGCUUCACCCCAGAGGUUCUCAGUGAUGAUGCUUGGGCAUCAGCUGUAACUCAUUUUACAGGGUUAUCAGGUGAAUUCAAUUAUAUAACUAGUAUGGAGGCAUCCACGUGCACUAGCUACCAGCUCUUCCCACCCAUAGGUUCUGUUAAAGAUUACAAGGGCUAACGUUUACAAAGCACUUGGUAUAUACCCAGCAUAAACUAUGUGCUCAAAAAGUGUUAUUUCUUUUUUCUUUUUCUCCUCCUCUUCCCCUUCUUUUCUUUCUCCUUCUUUAUAGCAUCAUGUAUAAGUUAGAGCAAGCAU